UUGACCUCGGAUCAGGUAGGAAUACCCGCUGAGUU
rnacentral:rRNA from 1 species